UCCGUGAUGGACUAACCGUCUGUCGCUGGGAAGAAGCUUAACUUGGGGGAAACUGCCACGAAGAUAAAACUUAAACAUAAUUAUGCCUUUCUUUAAUAUUAAUUAAAGUAAAUAAAAUUAAUAUUCUUAAUUUUAGGGUAGUUUUGAGUUACAUAUUCUUGUAUUUAAUUAUAAGAUAUAGUAAUUUUUUAUAAAAAUUUAAAAACAUUUAUGUUAAGAUAUUUAGUGUCAGUUAACUCAUUUAAGUAACAUCUCAAAAGUCAUAGCAAGGUAGCUUGUACUGGG
rnacentral:rRNA from 1 species